rnacentral:rRNA from 1 species
GACGAACGCUGGCGGCGUGCUUAACACAUGCAAGUCGAACGGAAAGGCCCUGCUUUUGUGGGGUGCUCGAGUGGCGAACGGGUGAGUAACACGUGAGUAACCUGCCCUUGACUUUGGGAUAACUUCAGGAAACUGGGGCUAAUACCGGAUAGGAGCUCCUGCUGCAUGUGGGGGUUGGAAAGUUUCGGCGGUUGGGGAUGGACUCGCGGCUUAUCAGCUUGUUGGUGGGGUAGUGGCUUACCAAGGCUUUGACGGGUAGCCGGCCUGAGAGGGUGACCGGCCACAUUGGGACUGAGAUACGGCCCAGACUCCUACGGGAGGCAGCAGUGGGGAAUAUUGCACAAUGGGCGGAAGCCUGAUGCAGCAACGCCGCGUGCGGGAUGACGGCCUUCGGGUUGUAAACCGCCUUCGCCUGUGACGAAGCGUGAGUGACGGUAAUGGGUAAAGAAGCACCGGCUAACUACGUG